rnacentral:rRNA from 1 species
GACGGAGGGUGCUAGCGUUGUUCGGAAUUACUGGGCGUAAAGCGUGUGUAGGCGGUCUCGCAAGUCGGAUGUGAAAGCCCCGGGCUCAACCCGGGAAGUGCACCCGAUACUGCAAGACUCGAGUACCGGAGAGGUUGGUGGAAUUCUCGGUGUAGAGGUGAAAUUCGUAGAUAUCGAGAGGAACACCGGUGGCGAAGGCGGCCAACUGGACGGAUACUGACGCUGAGACACGAAAGCGUGGGGAGCAAACAGG